GAGUUUGAUCGUGGCUCAGGAUGAACGCUGGCGGCGUGCCUAACACAUGCAAGUCGAACGAAGCACUUGCAGCGGAAUCUUCGGAGGAAGCUGCAUUUGACUGAGUGGCGGACGGGUGAGUAACGCGUGGGUAACCUGCCUUACACAGGGGGAUAACAGUUAGAAAUGACUGCUAAUACCGCAUAAGCGCACGGGACCGCAUGGUCCAGUGUGAAAAGUUUUUCGGUGUAAGAUGGACCCCGCGUCUGAUUAGCUAGUUGGCGGGUAACGGCCCACCAAGGCGACGAUCAGUAGCCGGCCUGAGAGGGUGGACGGCCAC
rnacentral:rRNA from 1 species